AGGAUCUUCCGCAAUGGACGAAAGUCUCGCCGGAGCACGCCGCGUGAGUGAUGAAGGCUUUCGGGUCGUAAAACUCUGUUGUUAGGGAAGAACAAGUGCUAGUUGAAUAAGCUGGCACCUUGACGGUACCUAACCAGAAAGCCACGGCUAACUACGUGCCAGCAGCCGCGGUAAUACGUAGGUGGCAAGCGUUAUCCGGAAUUAUUGGGCGUAAAGCGCGCGCAGGUGGUUUCUUAAGUCUGAUGUGAAAGCCCACGGCUCAACCGUGGAGGGUCAUUGGAAACUGGGAGACUUGAGUGCAGAAGAGGAAAGUGGAAUUCCAUGUGUAGCGGUGAAAUGCGUAGAGAUAUGGAGGAACACCAGUGGCGAAGGCGACUUUCUGGUCUGUAACUGACACUGAGGCGCGAAAGCGUGGGGGAGCCAAACAGGANUUAGAUACCCCUGGAUAGUCCACCCCGUUAAACGAUGAAUGCUUAAGUGUUUAGAGGGUUU
rnacentral:rRNA from 1 species